rnacentral:rRNA from 1 species
CAGUAGCCACGGGAAUACGGAGGGUGCAAGCGUUAAUCGGAAUUACUGGGCGUAAAGCGCACGCAGGCGGUCUGACAAGUCAGAUGUGAAAUCCCCGGGCUUAACCUGGGAACUGCAUUUGAAACUGUCAGGCUGGAGUCUUGUAGAGGGGGGUGGAAUUCCAGGUGUAGCGGUGAAAUGCGUAGAGAUCUGGAGGAAUACCGGUGGCGAAGGCGGCCCCCUGGACAAAGACUGACGCUCAGGUGCGAAAGCGUGGGGAGCAAACAGGAUUAGAUACCCGGGUAGUCCCUGUCUCUUAUAC